ACUGCAGAGGACUUAAACUUACGAAUAGAUAUUUAUGAUGAAAUUGGGAUUGGAGGAGGUGCUUUUGGAAUUUCUGGAGGACUACUUCAUCCUUAUUCCCCUAAAGCUAAGCUUCUAUGGAGGGGUGCUGAGUGUUGGAAUGAGUGUUUAAAGCUUUUGGGCGUUGCUGAAGCAACAGAAGCAUCAAUGGAUUCUGACCAGUUAAGCUCUGGAAUUUCAGAUUUUGAUACUCACUUUCAAGGCCUCAUAGUUUAGAAAAGACAACAUUUGAGGAUGUUUUCCCUGCGGAGGCAAC